AUGGAAAAUAUAUUGAAGAAUGCAUAUUUAUUCAAUGUUACAAUUUAUUGGAGUUUAUCACAAGGUUACAAGAAGCUACAAGUGUGUACAAGAUUUAUUUUCAACAUGGAAAAAAAUUCAGCAAAGUGCUAGUGCAGCCCAUGUUUGCAACCUUUCUUCAAGCCCAUUCUGCUACAUUUUUGUUGGUCAAUAAUGCUCCAAAUAACCUGAAAAAACAGCAAAGAGAAAUGUUGUAA